rnacentral:lncRNA from 1 species
UCUGCCAUCAUCAUCAGAUAAAUUUCAACAACAAAACAGAAACAGAAAUAUAGUGUUCCGCCCAGGUCCCAUCAAUAUCAGAUUGGUACAUCACAAGUUCACAACCAACCCUUAUUGGAAGCAAAACAGAACAGAAGCGACCUAGGCUUGGAGGAAGACCUGGGGCGCGCGCGCGCGGAUCACUCGGACAGGGCGUCGGCCGAGGCGGAGGCGGCGGCGAGCUCCUGCUGCUGGAGGCGCUCGAGCGCCUUGUGGUGCGCCCAGGUCUCGAGGGUGAGGUCGGGCUUGGCGUUGAGCCCGACGCCGAGGAUGACGACGGUGAGGAAG